AGCCCGGUAGUUGAAAUAGCUUUCCCUCCAGAGUGGAUCCUGAGUACGGCGGAACACGUGAAAUUCCGUCGGAAUCCGGGAGGACCAUCUCCCAAGGCUAAAUACUCCCUAGUGACCGAUAGUGAACCAGUACCGUGAGGGAAAGGUGAAAAGCACCCCGGAAGGGGAGUGAAACAGUUCCUGAAACCGUGUGCCUACAAGUAGUUAGAGCCCGUUAAUGGGUGAUAGCGUGCCUUUUGUAGAAUGAACCGGCGAGUUACGAUUUGUUGCAAGGUUAAGCGGAAAAAGCGGAGCCGUAGCGAAAGCGAGUCUGAAUAGGGCGCAUAAGUAACAGGUCGUAGACCCGAAACCAGGUGAUCUACCCAUGUCCAGGAUGAAGGUAAGGUAAUACUUACUGGAGGUCCGAACCCACGCACGUUGAAAAGUGCGGGGAUGAGGUGUGGGUAGCGGAGAAAUUCCAAUCGAACUUGGAGAUAGCUGGUUCUCUCCGAAAUAGCUUUAGGGCUAGCCUCGAGGUAAAGAGUCAUGGAGGUAGAGCACUGUUUGGACUAGGGGCCCUUCUCGGGUUACCGAAUUCAGAUAAACUCCGAAUGCCAUGUACUUAUACUCGGGAGUCAGACUGCGAGUGAUAAGAUCCGUAGUCGAAAGGGAAACAGCCCAGACCACCAGUUAAGGUCCCCAAAUAUAUGUUAAGUGGAAAAGGAUGUGGGGUUGCUUAGACAACCAGGAUGUUGGCUUAGAAGCAGCCACCAUUGAAAGAGUGCGUAAUAGCUCACUGGUCGAGUGACCCCGCGCCGAAAAUGUACCGGGGCUAAACAUAUUACCGAAACUGUGGAUGAACCUCUUCGGAGGUUCGUGGUAGGAGAGCGUUCUAAGGGCGGUGAAGUCAGACCGGAAGGACUGGUGGAGCGCUUAGAAGUGAGAAUGCCGGUAUGAGUAGCGAAAGAAGGGUGAGAAUCCCUUCCACCGAAUAUCUAAGGUUUCCUGAGGAAGGCUCGUCCGCUCAGGGUUAGUCGGGACCUAAGCCGAGGCCGAUAGGCGUAGGCGAUGGACAACAGGUAGAGAUUCCUGUACCAGUGCUAAUUGUUUAACCGAUGGGGUGACACAGAAGGAUAGGGAAUCGCACGAAUGGAAAUGUGCGUCCAAGCAGUGAGUGUGAGAAGUAGGCAAAUCCGCUUCUCGCGAAGCAUGAGCUGUGAUGGGGAAGGAAAUAAAGUACGGAAGUUCCUGAUUUCACGCUGUCAAGAAAAGCCUCUAGGAAGAGUAGUACUGCCCGUACCGCAAACCGACACAGGUAGAUGAGGAGAGAAUCCUAAGGUGAGCGAGAGAACUCUCGUUAAGGAACUCGGCAAAAUGACCCCGUAACUUCGGGAGAAGGGGUGCUCUAUUAGGGUGCAAGCCCGAGAGAGCCGCAGUGAAUAGGCCCAGGCGACUGUUUAGCAAAAACACAGGUCUCUGCAAAACCGUAAGGUGACGUAUAGGGGCUGACGCCUGCCCGGUGCUGGAAGGUUAAGAGGAGUGCUUAGCUUCGGCGAAGGUACGAAUUGAAGCCCCAGUAAACGGCGGCCGUAACUAUAACGGUCCUAAGGUAGCGAAAUUCCUUGUCGGGUAAGUUCCGACCCGCACGAAAGGCGCAACGAUCUGGGCACUGUCUCAACGAGAGACUCGGUGAAAUUAUAGUACCUGUGAAGAUGCAGGUUACCCGCGACAGGACGGAAAGACCCCGUGGAGCUUUACUGCAACCUGAUAUGGAAUGUUUGUACCGCUUGUACAGGAUAGGUAGGAGCCGAAGAGACGUGUGCGCUAGCAUACGAGGAGGCAAUGGUGGGAUACUACCCUGGCUGUAUGACCAUUCUAACCCGCCACGCUUAGCGCGUGGGGAGACAGUGUCAGGUGGGCAGUUUGACUGGGGCGGUCGCCUCCUAAAGAGUAACGGAGGCGCCCAAAGGUUCCCUCAGAAUGGAUGGAAAUCAUUCGCAGAGUGUAAAGGCACAAGGGAGCUUGACUGCGAGACUGACAAGUCGAGCAGGGACGAAAGUCGGGCUUAGUGAUCCGGUGGUUCCGCAUGGAAGGGCCAUCGCUCAACGGAUAAAAGCUACCCCGGGGAUAACAGGCUUAUCUCCCCCAAGAGUCCACAUCGACGGGGAGGUUUGGCACCUCGAUGUCGGCUCGUCGCAUCCUGGGGCUGUAGUCGGUCCCAAGGGUUGGGCUGUUCGCCCAUUAAAGCGGCACGCGAGCUGGGUUCAGAACGUCGUGAGACAGUUCGGUCCCUAUCCGUCGCGGGCGCAGGAAAUUUGAGAGGAGCUGUCCUUAGUACGAGAGGACCGGGAUGGACACACCGCUGGUGUACCAGUUGUUCCGCCAGGAGCAUCGCUGGGUAGCUAUGUGUGGCAGGGAUAAACGCUGAAAGCAUCUAAGCGUGAAGCCCCCCUCAAGAUGAGAUUUCCCAUUUCUUCGGAAAGUAAGAUCCCUGAAAGAUGAUCAGGUAGAUAGGUUUGGAGUGGAAGUGUAGCGAUACAUGGAGCGGACAAAUACUAAUCGAUCGAGGACUUAACCAAAA
rnacentral:rRNA from 1 species